AGACCGGAAGGACUGGUGGAGCGCUUAGAAGUGAGAAUGCCGGUAUGAGUAGCGAAAGACGGGUGAGAAUCCCGUCCACCGUAUGACUAAGGUUUCCUGAGGAAGGCUCGUCCGCUCAGGGUUAGUCGGGACCUAAGCCGAGGCCGAUAGGCGUAGGCGAUGGACAACAGGUUGAUAUUCCUGUACCACCUCCUCGCCGUUUGAGAAAUGGGGGGACGCAGUAGGAUAGGGUAAGCGCGCUGUUGGAUAUGCGCGUCCAAGCAGUAAGGCGUGUGUGUAGGCAAAUCCGCACACUGUAACGUUGAGCUGUGAUGGCGAGUCCGUAUGGACGAAGUUCCUGAUUUCACACUGCCAAGAAAAGCCUCUAUCGAGGUGAGAGGUGCCCGUACCGCAAACCGACACAGGUAGUCGAGGAGAGAAUCCUAAGGUGUGCGAGAGAACUCUCGUUAAGGAACUCGGCAAAAUGACCCCGUAACUUCGGGAGAAGGGGUGCUCUUGAGCGUGCAAGCGCAUGAGAGCCGCAGUGAAUAGGCCCAGGC
rnacentral:rRNA from 1 species